rnacentral:rRNA from 1 species
CAGUGGGGAAUAUUGGACAAUGGGCGCAAGCCUGAUCCAGCCAUGCCGCGUGGAUGAUGAAGGCCCUAGGGUUGUAAAGUCCUUUUAACGGGGAAGAUAAUGACGGUACCCGUAGAAUAAGCCCCGGCUAACUUCGUGCCAGCAGCCGCGGUAAUACGAAGGGGGCUAGCGUUGCUCGGAAUUACUGGGCGUAAAGCGCACGUAGGCGGUCUUUUAAGUCGGGGGUGAAAUCCUGGAGCUCAACUCCAGAACUGCCUUCGAUACUGGAAGACUUGAGUCCGGGAGAGGUGAGUGGAACUGCGAGUGUAGAGGUGAAAUUCGUAGAUAUUCGCAAGAACACCAGUGGCGAAGGCGGCUCACUGGCCCGGUACUGACGCUGAGGUGCGAAAGCGUGGGGAGCAAACAGGAUUAGA